CUCCUACGGGAGGCAGCAGUAGGGAAUCUUCCGCAAUGGACGAAAGUCUGACGGAGCAACGCCGCGUGAGUGAUGAAGGUUUUCGGAUCGUAAAGCUCUGUUGUUAGGGAAGAACAAGUGCGAGAGUAACUGCUCGCACCUUGACGGUACCUAACCAGAAAGCCACGGCUAACUACGUGCCAGCAGCCGCGGUAAUACGUAGGUGGCAAGCGUUGUCCGGAAUUAUUGGGCGUAAAGGGCUCGCAGGCGGUUUCUUAAGUCUGAUGUGAAAGCCCCCGGCUCAACCGGGGAGGGUCAUUGGAAACUGGGAAACUUGAGUGCAGAAGAGGAGAGUGGAAUUCCACGUGUAGCGGUGAAAUGCGUAGAGAUGUGGAGGAACACCAGUGGCGAAGGCGACUCUCUGGUCUGUAACUGACGCUGAGGAGCGAAAGCGUGGGGAGCGAACAGGAUUAGAUACCCUGGUAGUCCACGCCGUAAACGAUGAGUGCUAAGUGUUAGGGGGUUUCCGCCCCUUAGUGCUGCAGCUAACGCAUUAAGCACUCCGCCUGGGGAGUACGGUCGCAAGACUGAAACUCAAAGGAAUUGACGGGGGCCCGCACAAGCGGUGGAGCAUGUGGUUUAAUUCGAAGCAACGCGAAGAACCUUACCAGGUCUUGACAUCCUCUGACAACCCUAGAGAUAGGGCUUUCCCUUCGGGGACAGAGUGACAGGUGGUGCAUGGUUGUCGUCAGCUCGUGUCGUGAGAUGUUGGGUUAAGUCCCGCAACGAGCGCAACCCUUGAUCUUAGUUGCCAGCAUUCAGUUGGGCACUCUAAGGUGACUGCCGGUGACAAACCGGAGGAAGGUGGGGAUGACGUCAAAUCAUCA
rnacentral:rRNA from 1 species